rnacentral:misc_RNA from 1 species
CAACCCUCAAGCUCUGCUUGGUGUUGGGCCCUGCCCGCUCGCGGGCCGGCCCUAAAGACAGUGGCGGUAGCGUCUAGCUCCAAGCGUAGUACAACUCUCGCUCUGGGCCUAGGCGGUAGCCUGCCAGAACCCCCCAUUUCUGU